GACGAACGCUGGCGGCGUGCCUAAUACAUGCAAGUCGAACGAGGUCCAUCCAGUGGCAACACUGGGGAAGACCUAGUGGCGAACGGGUGAGUAACACGUGAGAAACCUGCCCCGAAGACCGGGAUAACCCUCCGAAAGGAGAGCUAAUACCGGAUACCCCCACCGAACCGCAUGGCUCGGUGAGGAAAUGGAUUCCGCUUCGGGAGGGUCUCGCGGCCUAUCAGCUUGUUGGCGGGGUAACGGCCCACCAAGGCAUUGACGGGUAGCUGGUCUGAGAGGACGAUCAGCCACACUGGGACUGAGACACGGCCCAGACUCCUACGGGAGGCAGCAGUAGGGAAUCUUGCGCAAUGGGCGAAAGCCUGACGCAGCAACGCCGCGUGGGGGAUGAAGGCUCUCGGGUUGUAAACCCCUUUCAGUGGGGACGAAUCAAGACGG
rnacentral:rRNA from 1 species